rnacentral:rRNA from 1 species
GAUGAACGCUAGCUACAGGCUUAACACAUGCAAGUCGAGGGGCAGCGGAGGAGUUAGCUUGCUAACUUCAGACGGCGACCGGCGCACGGGUGAGUAACACGUAUCCAACCUGGCCGUUACUCGGGAAUAGCCUUCCGAAAGGAGAUUAAUGCUCGAUGGUAUAUAUUUAUCGCAUGAUUUCUAUAUUAAAGAUUUAUCGGUAGCGGAUGGGGAUGCGUUCCAUUAGAUAGUUGGCGGGGUAACGGCCCACCAAGUCUUCGAUGGAUAGGGGUUCUGAGAGGAAGGUCCCCCACACUGGAACUGAGACACGGUCCAGACUCCUACGGGAGGCAGCAGUGAGGAAUAUUGGUCAAUGGGACGCGAGCCUGAACCAGCCAAGUANCGUGAACGGAUGACUGCCCUA